GACGAACGCUGGCGGCGUGCCUAACACAUGCAAGUCGAGCGAUGAAGCCCUUCGGGGUGGAUUAGCGGCGGACGGGUGAGUAACACGUGGGUAACCUGCCUCAAAGAGGGGGAUAGCCUCCCGAAAGGGAGAUUAAUACCGCAUAACAUUAGUUUUUCGCAUGAAGAACUAAUUAAAGGAGUAAUCCGCUUUGAGAUGGACCCGCGGCGCAUUAGCUAGUUGGUGAGGUAAAGGCUCACCAAGGCGACGAUGCGUAGCCGACCUGAGAGGGUGAUCGGCCACAUUGGAACUGAGACACGGUCCAGACUCCUACGGGAGGCAGCAGUGGGGAAUAUUGCACAAUGGGCGAAAGCCUGAUGCAGCAACGCCGCGUGAGUGAUGAAGGCCUUCGGGUUGUAAAGCUCUGUCUUUGGGGACGAUAAUGACGGUACCCAAGGAGGAAGCCACGGCUAACUACGUGCCAGCAGCAGCCGCCG
rnacentral:rRNA from 1 species